rnacentral:rRNA from 1 species
GAAUUGUUCGCAAUGGGCGCAAGCCUGACGACGCAACGCCGCGUGGAGGAUGAAGAUCUUCGGGUCGUAAACUCCUUUCGAUCGAGACGAACGGCUUCCGGGUGAACCACCCGGGAGAGUGACGGUACCGAGCGAAGAAGCCCCGGCUAACUCCGUGCCCGCAGCCGCGGUAAUACGGGGGGGGCAAGCGUUGUUCGGAAUUACUGGGCGUAAAGGGCUCGUAGGCGGCCAACUAAGUCAGACGUGAAAUCCCUCGGCUUAACCGGGGAACUGCGUCUGAUACUGGAUGGCUUGAGUGUGGGAGAGGGAUGCGGAAUUCCAGGUGUAGCGGUGAAAUGCGUAGAUAUCUGGAGGAACACCGGUGGCGAAGGCGGCAUCCUGGACCACGACUGACGCUGAGUGAGCGAAAGCCAGGGGAGCAAACGGG